GGGAACUCCAACAGCAUCGGGAUCACAAUCCAACAUGGCAGCAGGAAGAAUCAACCACUAGUGAUCAGGGUCAGCAGCCGGAGCAUCGUCACAGUUUGUCACACAGCAUGCUGAACGGGUGGAGGAGGAAAGAGGUGGAAAUAGAGGCAGGAACCUGGAUUGCAAGUCCUCCUCUGCACACACAAUCUGGUGUGGCAGCUGACCGAGGACGACAUCAACAAUACCCUUCAACGACAGAGUACAGGCGAUCCAGCCUCGUGGAAACGAGACUUGAGACGCCAAAUGCAGGCCACCGCUGCCAGACAACAGGUGUUGUUCCAACAAGCAGAGCAUCGUCGUCAACGUGACUGGGCUUGGUGGAUGAGACAGCAAAGUUCUCAGAGUUCCUGCAGAACAUUGCUGAGACUGUGAGACCAACCACGCUUAUGGUUGACGUUGGCACUGUCCCAUUUCUGAUGCCCAGCCUUUUCUCUUCUGGCAGGGGACGAUCUAGCGCAGGGGUGUCAAACAUACGGCCCGCGGGCAGGAUCCGGCCCCUGGAAUGUUAUUUUUUUAUUCAAUAGGAUACAGAUAAAAAAAAAUGAAAACAAAUGAGUGC